rnacentral:rRNA from 1 species
AUUGAACGCUGGCGGCAGGCCUAACACAUGCAAGUCGAACGAGUGGCGGACGGGUGAGUAAUGUCUGGGAAACUGCCUGAUGGAGGGGGAUAACUACUGGAAACGGUAGCUACUACCGUAUACCAUCGCAUGUGUCCAGAUGGGAUUAGGUAGUAGGUGGGGUAACGGCCCACCUAGGCGACGAUCCCUAGCGGGUCUGAGAGGAUGACCAGCCACACUGGAACUGAGACACGGUCCAGACUCCUACGGGAGGCAGCAGUGGGGAAUAUUGCACAAUGGGCGAAAGCCUGAUGCAGCCAUGCCGCGUGUAUGAAGAAGGCCUUCGGGUUGUAAAGUACUUUCAGCGGGGAGGCGUUACCCUCAGAAGAAGCACCGGCUAACUCCGUGCCAGCAGCCGCGGUAAUUC